UAUGUGAUCGUCUCUCGCAUAUCAAUAAGCGGAGGAAAAGAAAGCUAACAAGGAUUCCCCUAGUAACGGCGAGUGAAGCGGGAAGAGCUCAAAUUUGAAACUCUUAAAGGGUUUCCCUUUACGAAUUGUAGUUUAAAGAAGUGUUUUCUGUUGAGGUUUUGGUAAAAGUUCUUUGGAAUAGGACAUCAUAGAGGGUGAGAAUCCCGUAUUUGACCUUUACUUUCAACUUUGUGAUACACUUUCAAAGAGUCGGAUUGUUUGGGAAUGCAGUCCAAAAUGGGUGGUAAAUUUCAUCUAAAGCUAAAUAUUGGCGAGAGACCGAUAGCGAACAAGUACCGUGAGGGAAAGAUGAAAAGAACUUUGAAAAGAGAGUUAAACAGUACGUGAAAUUGUCAAAAGGGAAGCGUUUGACACCAGUGUUGUUUUUCUGAAAAUCAAUUAAAGAACUGUUUAUGCUAAGCUGUUUAGACUUUAUCAGCUAACUGUUUAGUUUUGAGCUUUUCUUUAAUGCACUUUUCAGUUAACAAGUCAACAUCAAUUUCUUUUGCUGUAAAAAAGCUUGAGGAAGGUGGCUUGAGAUUCGUCUUAAGUGUUUAUAGCCUCUUGCCUAUGCAGUCGGAGAGGAUUGAGGUCUGCAGCGUAGAUCCUUCGGGGCUAAAUGCAUUUGUGCUAAGUUAUAGCAUUUUAUAGACAACUUGUUGACUAUGAUUUGUCUUGUAGCUUACUCGCUUAUGUUAUUUUACCUACGCUUAGGAUGUUGAAGACUCUACAGAGAUA
rnacentral:rRNA from 1 species